rnacentral:tRNA from 1 species
UGGCUCAGAGGUUAAAGCGUCUGCCUACAAUGCAGGAAACCCAGGUUCGAUCCCUGG